AUGGCCUCCCAGCACAAAGUAAAGAUUUAAGUGUGUCCCAUAACACAGCACUCAGCCCAGUGUUCCUGACCAAUGUACCCACGUACACAGACUCUAAUUCUGAUGCAGACCUGACAGAUACGGAGCAUUUGUCUGUGACUCGGUGCAGAGCCAAGGUAAGAGCUUUAUAUCAAUGUAUUUGUGUGCUUUGAUUAAUGUAAGCAAAUGCAAACUGUUUAUUAUGUCAGCUCUCCUUGUGUUGCAAUGUCUUUCAACAUCAAAAUGAGAUUCUUUACAAUUCACAAGAAACAUUGACAUGCUCUAAAGCAGUGGCUUAGCAAAGGCCCAUUAAAGCGGGUCCCACCAGUUGAGAAUCACUGCUCUAAAUGCUCUCAACAGACAUCUUCUCCACCUAUAUUGUUUAUAUCACCAGGCUUGACUCCAUAGAUUUCUCUCUAGUUGCAUGAAUGGAAGCAUCUCAACUGUGUCCUCUGCGGACAUUGAGGUUGUGUGCUGACUGAUGAUUUCCUGCCCAUUCGUUUUUUCAGAAACUGUGCGAUGCAAUUUUCAGUCUUUGUUGUGUGUGUGAGAACACAACAAUAUAAACACAUUGUAGGCUUAAGAACUAAUUAUAACAGGGAAAUCCCUCAACCUCAAAUAUCUCACUUAGAGCUGAUGAUCAUCAUGAUCAGUUAUUUAAAUUCAUUUCUCAUACAGAAAUGUUGUGAAUGCAUUUCACAACACAAGGCGCAGUUUGUCUUAAGAGAAAAUGACUUUUCUUCUUCUUCCCUGUCAGUGUUUGUGGCGUCAAUCUACUCAGUCACUAUGUAGCGUGAGCAACAUGGAUGAUAAGUUUGUUGAGCAACUUGUUUGACAAGUUGUGAGUUGCUGGAGAUUCUGUAAAAUGUUUUUAUCUUUAUCCGUUCGGUAAAGCGUUUUAUCAAAGGCGUUGAGGGUUUGCAGACCGUCCUUGCCAUUGACACACUCUCAAAGAGUUUAUUUUCAUAUCAGGUCAGGCUGUUAUUGCAUGUAUGUGAUCACCUUAUUAGGAGCGCUGUAGAGCAAACACUUCUGUCAUAGGAUCUACUUUUAUUGGGCCGUAUCAUUUUUUUUGUGGUUAUUGGUUUUGUUGUCCUGGGAUACGUUAUAUAGCGUGUUGUUUACAUUAUUCAGUCAUGUAUGACGUAAACAGGGAGAACACAUAAUCAAAUGUAGUCCAGUACUCAUUUAAAAUAAUUUGAAUGUUUGUAGCGCAGCUUUCUCCUCUUGAACUGCAGAGACUGGACAGGUUUGCCUAAUAAAGAAGCCUUUGGGUGCCAGCUUGUUUUGUCUACGCAUACACUUAUUAACAUGUCCUAACCCAACAAGAAAAUGAAGUGGGCAUAACCUGGACCACAGUGACGGGCCUCUGACCACACCGUGCACUGUUAUCAGAAGCCUGAAAACCACCUACUCCACUGGUGCAAACAAGUUUUGCAAGCAAAAAUUGGCACCUCGUAUGAGAGGAACACAAGCUUCAACAUAUUUGAUGUAUAUAGGCCAUGUUUGUCCAAACUUUGGGAUUAGCAGUAUGCAAAUGUUGUUUUUAGAGAUGGAUAAAAAAUAAAAGCUAUUUACAGCCUUGCAGUUGAUGCAACUCAGAGAAGGUUUUUUGAGCAAAAGAUCAGGCGAUCACCAAAAUGAUUAAUCAUCCUCUGAGAAAUGUAAACAUCAAAAUCAAUUUCAAUGAAUGAGUAGGCCCAUGGUCAUCUGUUGGUUCCUUAAUUGUUUCUAAUGUUUAUUCUUUUUUACACUAGAACAACGAUGUGUUCCAAGAUAUUUAUGUGUCUGAUUGGAGCUGUGCAUAUAUACUUUCAGGUCCUUGCAGCGGUCGAAGAUCUCUACAUUGCCGAGCUGAUGGUGGAGAGUAAUGUUACUAUGGAGGCCGACCAGAUCCUUUCCAUUUUGAAUUCAACACAUGACAUCAAACUGUCUGACUUGACCACAGUGAUCCUCUCCCACAAUGAACUGGUUGCAGAGUGCCUGCUUAUUCGAAAUGAAUCCACCUGCAGCUGCAGUACCGGCUACAUUUGGAGCAACCCGGUGUGCAACCAAUUCAACUGUUGCCGGGAGGCUCCUUGUCCUCAAAAUGUGUCCCACAUCGUGCCACUCUGUGUUGCCAAAGUCAUGGUAAAUAUC
ensembl:lncRNA